rnacentral:lncRNA from 1 species
GAACAAUAUGUUUUGCUCUUGGGCCAAAGUGAGUAAAAUUUGGUAUUAGACCCUAGAAUUUAACCUCAUAUGUUGGCAGUAGACUAGAAAAGGUCUUCAGAUGAAGAGAGCAGAGUAAAAUGGAGAAAGCCAUACACUGGGAGUCAGAUGGCCUGGAUAGGAUUCUGUGCUGGCGCUCAUUAGUCAGAAACUUGAGGUGAGCCAAGGACCUUAGUUUCCUGAUCCAUGGAGCAGAAGGUGGGGUAGAUUGUCUCAAAGUUUCCUUUCAGUUCUAGAAUUAUGAGGUUUUAGGUACUUCUUGGGUUAUUUUAAGCUAAAGUUAAAUGUUGACAUGGUGUAAGCUUCUAAUAUUUUUCUUCUGAUGAACUCAAGUAGCCUAUUCUAAAUUGUAAUAUUUAUCUUAAAUUGCUUAAACUCCUUCAAUCUAACAAACUAGUAUUUCUUAUUCAGCAAACAGUUGCUGAAUGUUUUCCAUGUGCCAGGUACUGUACAAAGGCCUAGAGUAACAGAGAUAAGUGAGACGUUUAAUUACUGUCCACAAGUAAUGACAUUGCAAUGUGCUAAGUGCCCCAAGAGAGGAAUGAAUGAAGUGCCGUUGUUGUUCAAAGGAGAGGUUGAUUUAUUCUGCUUUGUGGGGAGCCAGGACAGCUGAGAAGGAAGUGGCAUUUGAAGGGGUCUUGGAAGAUGUGUUUGCCAGGUGGAAGAUGGUGCUGAGGAGGUAACUGAAGGGCCUUACGGGCGGACCGAGGGGCAUGGUCAGAGUGAGGGAGAUAGGAAGACGCACAGUGUUUGAGUAAACCUUCCAGAUUGAGUUUCAGUUUCCAGGGCUAAAUCAUAGGGAACAAAUGGUGGGGGAGGCAGGGCUUUGACUAGACAGAAGAAUGGGCAAGAAUGCUCUGGAAGUGGAGUGAGGAAUUAGGAGGUCAAAUUCUUGCUAACAUUACCUCUGGGACUUCUUCACAAGUUGAAUAAUAAUUCAUAGUUUUCUUGAGCCUCAUAUAUAGUGAAAUUUACUUGCACUUCUACCCAUAAUUGUUGAGUAGAAUGAUUAGAACAUUCGUCUCUGUUAAUUGACCAUUUACUAUAUAUUGUCUUAUUCUCAAUGUCCAAGUCUAAUAUCUCGUUAAAAACUUUUACCCACAUCUUCUUUUCCAAAAAUUUAUCUCAGUAUAACAUUUAUAGACCAAACAUUUUUUAAAAUGUGUUUUGUUUGGCUAUAGGACAAAGGAUUAGGUUUUUGACAAGGAAUCACAGAUAUGUUUUAAUGAUAGGCAGUGUAUUCUUCAUAUAUAGAAUAUCAUAUUUUACCUCAAAAUCCCAACUCAAACCAUUUUGGUCUAUUGAAAGGAUAAAAUGGGAUGAUGGUUUGGAAGCUGUUUUUUGUGAACUUUAAGGUGUAGAUUAUUGUAAAUAAUUAUAACUAUCGGAAAGAGUACACUAUUACAUUUUAUGUCUGAGUCUCAGCCUUCUCCCUCCACAGUUAUAGGGUAGGAACUGCAUGUCAACUUGGAAUCGGACUCUGUUUUGAGCCAUUUAAUUUAGACACUUAUUAUUUUAAUGUAAGCGCUUUUACUUUGGCAGUCGACAUGCAGUUCUAAUUAGCGCUUGGAACACAGCAGAGUAGGUUGAUGAGGUACAAGACAUGAAAAAAUACGUUCUUAAUGGCCUGCCCGAGGACUCUGGCAGCAUCCAGGAAAGACGCUUUCGGCACAGUGCUCGAUGCUUCUGAGAAAUCAUCUUCACUGGCACUUACACUCUUAUAAAUUUAAUCGCUUCGGUGUUUUGAAAAUGUCAAAAUAUUGGCAUUAGCAGCUUUGUCAUCUAUACCACAGAGAGAACAGUAAUUUCUUAAGCUCAUUCUGAUGUAGCAACUGAUGUUUAAGAAAACUAAACUUGUUUUCUCCAUCUGCCCAGGAUUCGCUUCCCAACUUUGCCAGUCAAGCUCUUACUCAUCCUUUAAACCCUAGUUAGAAUAUCUCCCCCCACAGUCGUCCCUCCCUUUCCCCCGUGGCCAUUCCCUUUUCUGUAUAUACGCAUUGUCUGAAUAUCUACAUCUACAUGACCACACUGAGUUGUAGUCACUUUUUAAUGCAUUAGUCUCCCCUGUUGACUCUCAAUGUCAUAUUUGUAGAACUGUGUCCCCACAUCUGAAUUUUGGUUGCAUCCAAUUAAAAUGCACUGCAUGGUGGAAUAAAAAGAACACUCACUUUAUAGUUAAACUCUUAUAGGUUAAAUCUUAACUGCUAUUUACUUGCUAUGGGAACUUGACCAAGUCACUUAACUUCUUUGAGCGUCUUCAAAUAAGAGUAGUAAAGCCUGCUCCGCAGGAUUGUUGAAGAUUACAUAAGAUCCAUCCAUCAGUUUACCAAAUAUGGAGAGAUCCUGUUACAUGUGAGCCACGUUACUUGGUACUAAGAAUAUAGUAGUCAAUAAGGCAUGAUCCUGCCCUGAGAACUUUAUAAUUUAGUGGGAAAGACAGACAAGAAAACAGCCCAUUGCAAUAUAAUUCUUUCUUUUUUUUCCGGAGGUACUGAGAUUGACAUCUCUUAUCAACAGGUACUCUUUGUUUUGGCAAGGAAGGAUUCACCCUGAGCUAACAUCUGUUGCCAAUCUUCCUCUUUUUUCUUCUCCCCAAAGCCCCAGUGCAUGGUUGUCUGUCCUAGCUGUAGGUCCUUCUAGUUCUUCUCUGCGAUCUGCUGCCACAGCGUGGCAACCAACAGGCGAGUGGUGUGGUUCCACGACCGGGAAACAAACCCGGGACACUGAAGCAGUGAGAGUGCUGGACUUGAACCACUAGGCCGUCAGGGCUGGCUCUGCAAUAUAACUCUUGAAGGAUGAAUAGGAAUUCUCUAGCACAAGGGUUCUAGGGGGCAGGGUGAAGGCAGCAGGGUUUAGGGUGAAAGGGGAAGCAUGUGUGCUGCCAGAGAAAGUUGACAAGUCAAGACAUGGAGAGAGGCAUAAUAUAGCAGUAGCUGUGGGGUUGAGGCUAGAGAUGUAAAUACCAUGCGGGACCUCACAAGCCAGGCUCAGGGCAGGGGGAACCUGUGAGGAGUAGAUGAUCAGGUUUGCCUUUCAGAAAGAUCUCCUUCCUUGGCAGGGUGUGGAGUGGUUUGAGAUAGUCAAGGGAAUCAGUACAACCAGUUCAGAGGCUGUUGCCUUGAAGAGGUGAUGGCCCCUAUAGCAGGAGUUGCGGUGGGAAUGAGGUAAUGAGAACGUAUUGAGAGAUUUAGGAGGAAGAUAAGGCAGGAUGUGAUCCAACGUGUUGGUGAAAAGGAGAUAAGGAAAGGAGAGGAGUCAGGGAGAAGAAACAAGAGAAGUGGUUUGGAGUGUAGUGGGGAAUAGAAAGUCCAGUUUGGAACCUGUGGGGUUUGAAGUACCCAUGGGAAGUGUGGGACAUCUCGAGUUCAUCAUCUUGAACUCAUGCAUAUUUUGACCCAGCUGGUUUUUUGUUUUUGAAUAUAAACAUUUCCCCUAGGAUGAUAUCAACACUGAUGAAUUUUGUGGCAAAGAUUUAUUCCAGGGUGAACUCCAUUAAGGCAAUUUAAUUCCUUGAUCCAUUUUCUAUAUUGCAUAUUUAAACUGUUUACAAUUGUUUCCACUUUCAUUUUUAUUUUACCAACAUUAUCUCCAUCAAGAUAAAAUCAUUCUCCUGUUCAUUUUAAAAGGAAGCUGGCUCUUUCAACUUUUUUUUCUUCAUCUUUGUCAAAUUUUUAGAGAUUAUAGCUUUCUCCAUGGUAAGUUUCCUUUUAGAUCCACUAUUUUUAGUGUGUCAGAUUUUACACAUGUAAACUUUUAUCAAAUCUUUUUCAUUUUUCAUCAAUUUGUGAGAAAAAUUUUUAUCAUUUGCUGUCUCUGCUAUUGUUAGCUGUAGUUUAUUUUUUUUAACCAAGCCUAAUAUUUUCCUGAAACUUUUUACAGUUUUUAAAUUUACCAACAAUAUGUGAUCUUCAAGUCAGCUUUUCAUCUAUAACAAAUUUUACUAUGUAUCAUUUUGGGCCUUGUCACUUUCAUUUUGGUCCUUAAGAUCAGACUGCCUCUUGUUGACAGAAUCAAAAUGGCAUACUUCAGCCUAUGGAUGGCCAAGGGGAGAUGUCCGUGAAAGAGGGUAUGUAUAUAGGUCUGGGGAUUUGCAAAGACAUCUGAGGUCAAAUACAGAUUUGGGAGUCAUUUGCAUCUGGGUGUUGAGGCCAAGGGGAUGGGUGACAUCUCAUGAGAGGGUGUAUAGGGUGAGAAAAGAGUACCUAGGAAAACUAGGAGGAGCACCAACAUGUGGGAAAGAAAUGGCCCGAGGAGGAGGAGUCCAUGAAGGACAGGCAGGAGGUAGGAAGAAAUCCGUAGGAGGGCAUUAUCGUGGAAGUCAAGUCAAGGAGAGUGGUGGUUAACAAUGACAGGUGCGGCAGAGGGCAUGUAGGAUACAUACUGAAACAUGUUCUUUAGAUGGGGCAACAAUAACACCAUCACUCUCCUUGGUGAGAGUCAUCACAUGAGUGGAGAAAAACUACCCAGCUGAGCGUACUCACAAGAGGAGAGAGAAGGAAGUGGAAAAAGUGCAGGCAAUUAUACAGCUAACAUUGACUGUAAGAAGGGGAGUUUGUUUGCUUGUUUGUUGACUGGUUUAUUUAUUUCCUUUUAAAAGGAGAGAGACUUGAGCAUGGUUAAGCACUGAUAAGUUGGAGAGAGAGUUGGAAUGGGAUUCCUGAAGAGUGCAUUAGGACCCCAGUCCUUUCCAGGAGCCGGGAGCUGACAUCAGUCUUGCUGCCUAAAGCUCCGUAUCCAGCACUUACUAGCACCAGGCACUGUAGCAAGCAAUGGAGGUUAAAACAUGAAGAGACACUGUCCCAGCCCUCUCGGAGCUCACGUUCCAGCAGGAGGAAGCUGCACAGAUGUUGAAACGACUACUACAGGAUGAGAUGUUAAACUGGAAAGAAAACUUACAGACCUACAGGAACACAAUGACAGUAACAUCUUUAUAUUCUCACAACCCAGAGAUAUAAAAUGUGUGUGUAAGAUGGAGAUACAGCUUCUGCAUUUUCAAAAUGCUCAGAUGCCUGCAUGUGAAAGGCAGAGAGGAGAACCAGGACUCUCAGAGGAGAUGAAUUUUGACUCCAGACUGACUGGAACCAUCAGGAACUGGUGACUUGUGACCACAGCUUGUCCCGAGCGGACUCACUGCUGCCUCUGUGGUGAGCCUAUUUUCAAAGCCCCACAGUGGCCCCUUGUAAACUUUUCUCUUUUCCCUCAAGCCCUGACACUGCCGGUCCACUUGAGCUCCCACUGUGUGGAGACAAAAGGCCACCUAAUCUGUAGCAUCCCCCUCAAAACACCUCUAUUUUCAGCCCUUCUUCCUCCCUAUUUUAAUGAGCAGGUUUCCUGGAUUUUUCCCGAGGCCAGUUUCCCUGCUUGUGUGCUUGGCCCCAUCCUUUCCACCCCCCCAGGACCUUACUCAUUUGGUGAAAAUACAACUUUUUAGAAAUAAAUAUGUAACGUUCUCUGCACUUAAUAUUUUAUGGCAAUUAGGCUUUUUAAUCCCAAUGUCUGCUAUGCUAGGCUGACAGGAUUUUUAUGUAAACCAGCUGAUUUAUAUAUAUGUAAGUCCUAUAUGUGUAUAUGAAAGUUACAUUGGUAUGUUUAGACUAGUACAGCAGUGAGGAUGACAGAGAGAAAAGCAGACGUAUGAAAAUGCAGAACAAUAGAUUAGAGCGUGAAGCCUCUGUAGGUGGACAGCCUGAGCAUGCUUUGCUAAUUGUUUUGAAUCCUCAAUACCCUGUAGUGCAGACAGGGUGGGGCAAGGGGCCCAGAAUCACACACGUAUCAUGCCUUAAAGGCAAGCGGCAGACAACAGCUGUGUUGAUGCCACUACUAGAACUCCUCCGUGCCAUGUCCCCUAGCCCCACUGCUGGGCCCCCUAACUUGUUUAUUUCUAUUGAAGUAUAACAUACAUUAAAUAAUUUUCCCCUUUUAAAUGCACAGUUUGAUAAGUUUUAAAAUAUGCAUACUUCUAUGUGACUAUCAGCACAAUCAAGAUACAGUUUUGAUUUCAUCACCCAAAAAGUCCUCUCUUACUCCUUUGCAUUCAAGGUCUGCUGCUCCCAAUCCCUGGAAUCCAUCAAUUUGUUGUCUCUGAGCGUUAUGGACUGCGUGUUCACGUCGCCCCAAUUAAUACAUUGAAACCCUAACUCCCAACAGAGUGGUAUUAGGAGAUGGGGCUUUUGGGACAUAAUUAGGUCAUGAGGAUGGGGCCCCCAUGAUGGAGAUUAGUGCCCUUAUAAGAAGAGGAAGACAGCUAGCUCUCUGCUGUCUCUGCCAUGUGAGGAUACAGCAAGAUGUCCUCUGCCAGCCAGGAAGAGAGCCCUCAGCAGAUAUUAGAUCUGCCCGUGCCUUGAUCUUGGACUUUCUAGCCUCCAGAACUGUGAGAAACAAAUGUUUACUGAUUAAGCCACCCAGUCUAUGGUAUUUUUUUGUUAUAGCAGCCCGAGCAGACUAAGACACUUAGUAUAGACCAGUUUUGCCUGUUCUAGUAUAGAUUCACAAAUUAGUUUUGACUGUUUAUACAAAUGGUACAUUGGAUAUAAACUCUCUAUUGUCUGGAUUCUUUUCCUCAACAUAAUAUUUUAAAAAUUCUUCUAUGUUAUUACAUGUAUCAGUGUUUGUUCCUUUUUAUUUGUUAGUGGUAUUUUAUUGUAUAAAUACACCACAAUCUGUCACAUUUGGGUUGUUGCCAGUGUUUGGUUAUUAUGCAAUAAAGCUACUAUAACAUUCGUGUGUGUGGACAUAUAUUCUUAAUUUCUCUUGGUACAUAUUCAGGAGUGAGAUGGUGAGUUAUGUUUAACUUUUUAAGAAAUUACCAAACUGUUUUCCACCAGCAAUGUUGCUUCAUAUCUUCACCAAUACUUGGUAUUGUCAAUCUUUUAAAUUUUAUCCUCUCUAAUAGAAAUGCAGUUAUGUUUUAUUUUGGUUUUAACUUUUUGUAUUACCCUAAUGACUAGUGAAGCUGCUUGUCUUUUCAUGAGUUUAUUGGCAUUUCAUAUACCUUUUGUGAAGUGUCUGUUUAAAUCGUUGCCCAUUUUUUACUAGGUGUUUAUCUUAUUAUUCAGUUGUAAGAAUUCUUUAUAUAUUCUGAAUACAAGUACUUGGUCAGGUAUAUUCAUUGCAAAUAUUUUAUCCCAGUCUGUGGUUUGUCUUUGCGAUUUUCUAAAUAUUGUCUUUUGAAGAGGAGAGGUUUGUAAUUUUGUUAAAGUCAGAUUUUGAAAGUUUUGUUAUAGUGUGUCCUUCUGUGUUCUACCUAAGAAAUCUUUACCUGUUUCCAAGGUUGUGAGGAUUUUCUUUUAUACUUUCUUAUAGAAGUUUUAUAGUUGUAGCUUUUUUGUUUAAGUCUCAUCUAUUUAGAUGUAAUUUUUAUUUAGAGCUGUGAAUUAAAAAUUGAGGUUAACUUUUUGUGUAUGAAUAUUCAAUUGUCCAACACCACACACUGAAAAGAUUAUUCCUAUGGAAUUAUCUUGGUAUUUUCAGCAAAAAUCAAUGGACUACUUAAGUUUGCAUCUAUUUCUGAACUCUCCAUUCUGUUCCAUUGAUUUCUGUGUCUAUCUUUACACCAAUAUCACACUGUCUUGGUUACUGCAGCUUUAGAGUAAGUUUCGAAAUUAGGUGGUGCAAAUUCUCCAACUAUGUUCUUUUUUCAAAAUAGUUUUGACAAUUCUGUGUCAUUUGGAUUUACAGAUAAACUGUAGAAUUGACUGUCAAUCUUUAAGAAAGUGUCUGCUGGGAUUUCAAUCGGGUAGAAUUGAUACCUCAACAAUAUUGAGUCUUUUAAUCUAUGAAUGUGGCUCUUCACUAAUUUAACUCUUCUUUAAUUUCUCUCAUCAAUAUUUUGCAUUUUUCAAGCCACAGAUCUUACAUGUAUAUAUUAUUAAAUUUG